rnacentral:misc_RNA from 1 species
GAUGAAGAACGUAGCAAAAUGCGAUAAGUAAUGUGAAUUGCAGAAUUCAGUGAAUCAUCGAAUCUUUGAACGCACAUUGCGCCCGCCAGUAUUCUGGCGGGCAUGCCUGUUCGAGCGUCAUUUCAACCCUCAAGCACAGCUUGGUGUUGGGACUCGCGUUAAUUCGCGUUCCCCAAAUUGAUUGGCGGUCACGUCGAGCUUCCAUAGCGUAGUAGUAAAACCCUCGUUACUGGUAAUCGUCGCGGCCACGCCGUUAAACCCCAACUUCUGAAUGUUGACCUCGGAUAAGGUAGGAAUACCCGCUGAACUUAAGCAUAUCAAUAAGCGGAGGA